AGUUUGAUCAUGGCUCAGAUUGAACGCUGGCGGCAGGCCUAACACAUGCAAGUCGAACUGUAACAUGAAGCAUCUUGCUGCUUUGCUGACGAGUGGCGGACGGGUGAGUAAUGUCUGGGAAACUGCCCGAUGGAGGGGGAUAACUACUGGAAACGGUAGCUAAUACCGCAUAACGUCGCAAGACCAAAGAGGGGGACCUUCGGGCCUCUUG
rnacentral:rRNA from 1 species